rnacentral:misc_RNA from 1 species
ACCACUGUGUGCUGCUUCUUGUGG